UACGAGGGGAGCAAGCGUUGUUCGGAUUUACUGGGCGUAAAGGGCGCGUAGGCGGCGUGACAAGUCACUUGUGAAAUCUCCGGGCUUAACUCGGAACGGUCAAGUGAUACUGUCGUGCUAGAGUACAGAAGGGGCAACUGGAAUUCUCGGUGUAGCGGUGAAAUUCGUAGAUAUUGGGAAGAACACCGGUGGCGAAGGCGGCGACCUGGUCCAUUACUGACGCUGAGGCGCGACAGCGUGGGGAGCAAACAGG
rnacentral:rRNA from 1 species